UGCUUUUCCCCCUGUGCCCUCGCUGUCCCCUGUCCCUGUGCUGGGUCCGAGCUGUUGGCCGGGCCGGGCGGAGCAGCAGCUGCAGCCCCGGGUGUCCCUGGAGCGCUGGGAGCUGCCGCUGGCCCCAGGCGCUGUCCCCUGAGGAGCUGCUGAAGGACGCUGCCCUGAGGACCUUGAGGACAGGCGGAGACCGACAGGAGCCAGCAGGGAGAAGCUGAAGGCCGCCAGCUCCAGCAGUGAACAGGGAGCUGCUGCUGCCAGCCCAGAGCCUGGAUGUGCCAUCUGCUGUCCCUGUCCAGGAGAGCUGCUCUGCACAGGAGGAAGCAAGCACGGAAAGAAAAGCUUUGAAGACUGGGCAGCUGAAAUCUCUCUGUUUAGAAUUCUGUUUAAAGAUAUAUGGACUUAGGAGAUUUAUGACUGUAUAUUUGUAUUGAUGGAUGGAUAUAUUUGCAGAUGGCUGGGUACAGUUACCUAUUCACAAAUAGUUUAUGUAUCUAUUUAUAUAUAUAUUGUAUAUAAUAUGUAGUAUUUAUUCUCUAUUUACUUCUGUAUA